UUCAGCAUGAUGACUUCCCUGCCAGAAGGAGAGGAUGCUCUGAGAGGGAGACAACAUUUGUUUAAGCAUAAAUAUCUUUGAUAUUUAGCAAAGAGGCAAGAGACUAUAUGGAAGACAACAGAGGAACCAAAAAUUCUAGUUUAUAGGAUGCUUUGCCUCUUCAGUAAAAGUCAGGUGGCUCAACUUUCUUCAGGUCGUCACAUUAUACAAGCAUUUCCAGUUAAACUGGGCUCCACGGUGUGGAGAAGACAACAGCAAAGAGACAUAAAGCUGGAGAAAGUAGAAGAGAAAGAAAAGGCUCAUAUUUGAGAAGUUUAUCAUUUACUGAGGAUAGUUUAAAACACACCCAGGAAACAAGACAGACUAAGUUUCACCGGGAAAAAAAAAUCUCCUAAGAUCAUCCAGAAAACAGCCUAAAAUCUAUAUCUCAUUUCAACUUACACCUGAGGAUGCCUGAAUCCCCACACAUCUACAUUACUGAAGCUCCUGACCAGCUACAGUGGUGUGAGCUCUGCUUGCUACAAGGAAAACUAGCAGCUGGAUGGGCAUAGAUGUGACUUAUCAGGGCCACUGCUGGCAACUUAACUGGGCAUCUCAAAGAAUAUCUGAUCCUCUCCACUUGGACUCCUGGGGCUUCCUGACUAUUGAAAAAGUCAAGCACUUCCUACUUUAAAGAAUAAAGACAGCCUGGAAGA